AACGCAUAUUGCACUUUCUGGUAUUCCGGAAAGUAUGCCUGUUUGAGGGUCAGUUAAAUAAAAAUCGGUGUUGUUGCUGCCUUUCGUGGUGACGCGUCGGAAUUGAGUUGUCUUACCUUCGGUUAAGUGACUUAAAAUUUUGUAUGAUUUUCGAACGUAUUUAAAUUUAUUUGUACGUUUGAGAUAUCGAAUGUUUAUUAGGUUCGGUCAUUCUAAUGACUCGCGCCUAUAGUUUUUCAUUAAAUGACCUCAAAUCAGGUAAGAAUACCCGCUGAACUUAA
rnacentral:misc_RNA from 1 species